rnacentral:rRNA from 1 species
GAGUUUGAUCGUGGCUCAGAGCGAACGCUGGCGGCAGGCCUAACACAUGCAAGUCGAACGAACUCUUCGGAGUUAGUGGCGGACGGGUGAGUAACACGUGGGAACGUGCCUUUUGGUUCGGAAUAACUCAGGGAAACUUGUGCUAAUACCGAAUGUGCCCUUCGGGGAAGAUUUAUCGCCAUUAGAGCGGCCCGCGUCCGAUUAGCUAGUUGGUGAGGUAAAGGCUCACCAAGGCGACGAUCAGUAGCUGGUCUGAGAGGAUGAUCAGCCACAUUGGGACUGAGACACGGCCCAAACUCCUACGGGAGGCAGCAGUGGGGAAUCUUGCGCAAUGGGCGAAAGCCUGACGCAGCCAUGCCGCGUGAAUGAUGAAGGUCUUAGGAUUGUAAAAUUCUUUCACCGGGGACGAUAAUGACGGUACCCGGAGAAGAAGACCCCGGCUAACUUCGUGCCAGCCGCCGCAGU